GGGAUUUAACUCAAAGGCGCUGGGCCACAUCCCCAGCCCUAUUUUGUAUUUUAUUUAGAGACAAGAUGUCACCGAGUUGCCUAGUACCUUGCUUUUGCAGAGGCUGGGAACUCUCCAUCCUCCUGCCUCAGCCUCCCUAGCUUCUGGGAUUACAGGUGUGUGCAAUUGUGCCCAACUCAACAGUCAUUUUAAAUGUCAGUGGUCAGCCAGGUGUGGUGGCCCACACUUGUAGUUCCCACUGCUUGGACUAAGGCAAGGAAAUUGCUUGAGCCCAGGAGUUCAAGGCCAGGCUGGGCAACAUAGUGAGACCCUGUCUUGUUGUUUUUUGUUUUUUUGUUUUGUUUGUUUGUUUUGUUUUGUUUUUUGUUUUUUUAAGGACAAAAAUAACCUUCAUUGAUCAGUAGAUGAUAGAGACCAUCCGAGUGGGUCAGAAGCAAGACCUAACUAUGUCUUCUACAAGAAACCUCUUAUAAACAUAAAAAUGCAUAUAGCUUAAAAGUAAAGACAUGGAAAAAGAUGCUAAUAGGAAUCAAAAAAAGAGGGAAUGUUUACAUUAUUUUCAGUCACAACAGACUUCUGAGCAAGGAAAGGCACCAGGAAGAGAGGAAUAAUGCAUAAUGGUAAGGGCUUUAUACAUCAAAAAGACAACAAUUCCUGAUGCACCUAACAGCAGCAACAGAAAACUAAAGGCAAAAUCUGAUAGGCCUGCUAGGGGAAAGAAAUGAGUCUAGUACUAUAGUUGGAGACUCCAGCUAUUGUCUCUAUCUACAAUGGACAGAUCCAUCUGCAGACACAACUGAGCUCAUUACCAUUCAUCACUGGGAUAGACAUCCACAGACUCCUUCAUCUAACAACAGCAGGUUUGUUCUGUUUUUAUGGUGCUGGUGAUCAAACCCAAGGCUUUUUGCAUACUGACCAAGUGCUCUACCCCUGUACUACACUGCCAGCCCGGAUUAUAGUCUUCUGAAGUUCACUUGGAAUGUUCACCAAGACAGACCAUAUUCUAUGCCUGAGCACACUUUGAUGUGUUUAAAAGGAUAGACUGCCAGAUGUGGUGGCACAUGCCUGUAAUCCCAGCUACUCAGGAAGCUGAUGUAGGAAGAUCACAAAUCUCAAAAACUGGGAUGUGGAUCAAUGGGUUUAAUCCCUAAUACUGAAAGAAAAUGUACAACAUGUGCUGUCAGACCACAGUGAUAUUAAAACUAGAAAUUAAUAACAAAAAUAUAGGUAGAAAAUUCUGAAAUUUUGGAGUAUAAAGAGCAUGCUUUUUUCCUCCCACCCCAGUACAGGGGGUUGAGCCCCAGGUGUUCCCCAGCCUUUUUUAUUUAUUUUUUUAAUCUUGAGACAACACUUAGUUGCCCAGGCAGGUCUUGAACUUGGGGUCCUCUUACCUCAGCCUCUCAUGUCACAGGGAUUAUAGGAUUACAUGCUCUGCUAUACAGCAUACUUCUAAAUAAUGUGUGAGUCAAAGAAGAACUCUGAAGAAAUUUUUAAAUAUUUUGAAUUAAAUGAAGAUAAUAUCACCUAGCAAAUUCUGUGGACUAGAGUGAAAACAUGAUGAGAAAUUCAGGUCAGUGAAUGCAUUUAUUGAAAAGAAGAUCUUAAAGUCCUAGCCAUGGUGGUGCAUACCUGUAAUCCCAGCAUCUUGGGAGGCUGAGGCAAGAGGAUUGUGAGUUCAAAGCCAGCCUCAGCAAUUUAGCAAGGCCUAAAGCAACUCAUGAGACCCUGACUCUAAAUAAAAUAUUAAAAAGGGCUGGGAAUGUGGCUCAGUAAUUGAGUACCCCUGGGUUCAAUCCCUGGUAUAAAAAAAAAAAAAAAGUCAAUAUUCUAAGCUUCUACCUCAGGAAACUAGAGAAAAGAAGAGAAAAUUAAAUCCAGAGUGAACAGAAGAAAAGAAAUAAUAAAUGUGAAAAUGAAAACAGGAAAUCUGGGCUGGGGAUUUUGGCUCAGUGUAGAGCGCUCGCCUAGCACAGGGGGGACGCAGGUUCGAUCCUGAGCACCACAUAAAAAUAAAGGCAUUGUGUUGUGCCCAUCUCCACCUAAAAAAUAUUAAAAACAAACAAACAAAACAUGAAAUCAGUAGAGAAAAAUCAAUAAAACCAGGAGUUGGUUCUUUGAAGCGAUCAAUAAAGUUGAUAAGCAUCUAUCUAGAUCAAGAAGGACAGAGAGAAUACAAAUCACUGAUAUCAGAAAUGAAUAGUUCUUGUGACAUGGAGAGGUCAAAAGGAUAUUAUAAACAGCACUUUGCUCACAAAUUGGAUAACUUAGAUGAAUUGAACUAAUUCCUUGGAAAAUCAAUCUCUCCAAACUCACUCAACAAUAAGUAGAUAAACUGAAUAGGUCUAUGUGUAUUAAAGAAAUUGAGUUAACAAUUAACCUUCCAAAACAGUUCCCUGGCUCAAAUGGGUUCAUUUGUGAAUUCUGACCCAUUUAAGUAUGAAAUUAUGCUAUUUUUUCUCCUCUUUUCCAGAGGAUAUAAAUACUUCCUGGCUCAUUCUAUGAUGUCAGCAUUAUCAUACGAGCAAAAUCAAAGACACUACAAGAAAAUAAAACAGUGGACAAAUAUGAAUAUGGAUGUAAAAGUUAUCAACAAAAUAUUAACAAAUCAGAUUCAGUAAUGUAUAAAAAGAACUAUACCAUGACUAAGUGAAGUUUAUCUUAGGUAUGCACAACUAGUUCAACAUUGAAACAUCAAUGUAGUUCACACUUAAGAAGAAAGAUCACAUGGUCAUAUCAAUAGAUACAGAAAAAGCAUUUGACAAAAUUCAACAUUCAUGAUAAAAACUCAGAAGGUUUGGGUAUAGAGGGGAGAUUCCUCAACUUGGUUUAAAAAAAAUACCUACAAAAAUUUUUAAUGGGAAAAAACUUGAAGCUUUUCCUCUAAGAUCAGGAACAAGGCCAGAACGACUCCUUUUACCACUGCUUUUCAACACCGUACAGGACGCUGUAGCUAAUGGAAUAAAGCAAGAAAAGGAAAUAAAGGCUAUUACAUAUUGGGAAUGAAGAAAUAUAACUGUUUACAGAUGACACCAUUGUCUAGGUGAUAGGCCAUCUAUGGAUAGGAAGACUCAAUAUUGUCAAGAUGUUAGUCAUUACAGUGGCCCACACCUGGAAUCCCAGCUACUCAGGAGACUGAGGCAGAAGGAUCGCAAGUUGGAAGCCAACAAUCUGGCCAGCUAGUAAGAAGCUUCUCAAAAAGGCUCUGGAUGUAGUUAAGUGAUAGAGCGCUUGCCUAGCAUGCCCAAGACUGGGUUUAAUCCCCAGUAACUGCGCAAAAAAAAAAAGAUGAAAAAAGUCACUUUUCCCAACUUGAUCUAUAAAUUCAACAUAAUUCCAAUUAAAAUCUCAGUAGGUUAUUUUGUGGAUGUCAAAAAACUUACUCUGGGGGGCUGGGGUUGUGGCUCAGCGGUAGGGCACUCGCCUAGCAUGUGCAAGGCGCUGGGUUCAAUCCUCAGCACCACAUAAAAAUGAAUAAAUAAAGGUAUUGUGUCCAACUACAACUAAAAAAAAAUAUUUUAAAAAAAUGACUCUGAGGUUUAUAUGGCAAGGUAAGAGACCUAGAAUAACUCACUCAGUAUUGAAGGAACGGCACAAAAUCAAAAUCGGACUCAUACCAUCUGAUUGCAAGGUUCACUGUACAGCUACAGUUAUCAGGGCAGUGUGGUACUGCUGAAGAAGUAGACACAGACUAUUAAAGCAAAAUAGAGAGCCUGUAGUUAUCAGAUGAUCGCAUGCGAAGAAAACGAAUGUAGAUGCCCUCUACCAGAGGCGCACCAUGAUCCCAGCACUGAGGAGGCUGAAGCAGGAGGAUUGCAAGUUCACUUGGAUCCUGUCUCAAAAAUAAAGGUCUGGGGUGUAUUUAGUGGUAGAGCAUCCUUGAGUUAAAUCCCAGUACCACACACAAAAGACCCAUUAAGUCCCAAGUUUUAGGGCUGGGGCUAGGACUCAGUGAUAGAGCACUCACCUAGCAUGCACAAGGUACUGGGUUUGAUCCUUAGCACCACAUAAAAAAUAAAGUGAUCAUUAAAAAAAAAAGUCCCAAGGUUUUAGUUCUGUGAUGGUGUCAAUGAAAUUAAAACAGGUUCAUUGAGAUAGGUUGGAAAUCAUAAUCUAGACUUUACACAUAGUUAUAUUAAUCUUAAUGUUAUAUAUUACAUAAUUUUAUAAUUCCAUCUAAGUGUUUAUUGGUAUUCCACAUCUGGAAUACUGGGACAAAAUGGGUUCAGCAAGUCGUAGUCUGCUCAUACUUAGUCUGCAGCUGUAACAAAAUGCUAUAAAAUGAGUGCUUAAACAGAAAUUCAUUUUCUCACAGUUCUGGAGGUUGGAAGUCUGUCAGUUUGUCCGUUUUUGGUGAGGAUUCUCUUGCUAUCUCACAGAUGAUUAUCUUCUCACUGUGUCCUCAUCUGGUAGAGAAAAGAAAUCUUCUGGUCUCUGUUAAAAGGGCACUAAUCCACUAAUGGGGCCCCACUCCCAGUUAUCUUUCAAAGGCCUCAUCUCCAAAUGCCAUUGAAAGUUAAGACUUUAAAUAAGCUGAAGGUCACAGUUCAGUCCAUAGCAGACUUCAUAGCCCUAAAUAUAAAACUUCUAGAUGAUAAGAGAAAAUGUAGAUUUGAGCUUGGGUUCUAUAGUAAGUUUGGGAAUGUGACAUCAAAAGCAUGAUCCAUAAAGUAAAUGGUUGAUAAGCUAGAUUUCAUUAAGAUUAAAAACUAAUGCAGUUGGGUAUGGUGAUGCACAUCUGUAAUCCCAGCAACUCAUGAGGCUGAGGCAGAAAGAUCACAAAUUCAAGGUCAGCCUGUGUAAGUUAGCAAGACACUAUCUCAAAAAAGUCUGAGGAGGGGCUGGGGUUGUGGCUCAGUGGUAGAGCACUCACCUAGCAUGUAUGAGGCCCUGGGUUCGAUCCUCAGCACCACAUAAAGAUAAAUAAAUAAAUGUAUUGUGUCCAUCUACAACUAAAAGAUAUUAAGAAAAAAAAAAAAGGCUGAGGAUGAAGGUCAGUUGUAGAGCAUUCCUGGGUUCAAUCACCACUACCAAAACCAAAAACUUUCACAAAAGACAGUAAGAAUUUUCAGACUCAAGAGAUGUGUCCAUCUACAACUAAAAAAAAAAGACGAAAGGCCUGAACAGACACCUGGCCAAAGACACACAGAUGGCAGGCCUGUGUAAAGAUGCUGCUUGUUGUGUCACUAGAAUGCAAGUUAGAGCCACAGUGAGAUGCCACUGCAUGCUUUUUUAGAAUGGCACAUCCAGGAAGUUGACAGCACCCAGUAUCAGCGAGGAUGGGGAACAGCGGAAUGUGCCUUCAUCGCUGUUGAAAUGCACGGUGUUGUGGCUGCCACGGAAGAUGCUGGCCAGUAUCUUACAGAAGUGCACACACAAGAUCACAUUCACAGUCUUGGUGUUUAUCCAAAGUGAACUGAAAAUUCAUGUUCACACAAACCCUGUACACAAAUUUUAUGAGCACUUUAUUCAUAAUUGCUAAAAGUUGGAAGCAACCAAGAUAUUCUUUAAUAGAUGAGUGGAAUGGGAUGAUAUGUGGGGCUAAAAAGAAGUGAGCUUACCAAGCUAUGAGGAGCUGUGAAGGAGUCUUAGUGUGCAUGACUAGGGGAAAGAGGCAGCUUGAAAGGUUGCGUGUGUAUUCCAGAAUGACGCUCCUGCAAAGUUGAAACUGUAGACGCAAGAAAAAUACAAAUGGGUACCAGGAAAUGGAAGAGGGGUGGGUGCACAGAGAGACUUGGGGACAGGGGGACUCUGGUAGUGCAGUGGUGGAUCCAGCAUGCAUUGUCAGCACCCAGGGACUGCAACACAAGAGCAGCCCCGUGGUGGCUGUGGACUCCAGGUGGUGUGUCCCUGUGGGUUCAUCCAUUCUGACACUUGUACCACCCUGAUGCAUGAUUUCCUGAGCACAUGUUAAGAUUCAGGGUGAACUUGUGCCUUCCUCCAGGCACCACGUAUUCUGGGGUUUUCUUUGGGAAAGCACACAUCAUUGGGAGGUGAGACACGGGUCAGGAAUUGAAAUUUUAUUCUCAUAGAUCUGGGGAUACCCCAAGGCCAUACAGGCUAGUCAGCAAGAAGGGCAAGGGGUGGGGACCUGGAGCAUCUACCAUUAGGGUCCAGGGUAUGGGCAGAAGCAUGGACCGGAGAGAAGUUCCAUGCUGAUGGCUUAGUCCUCUUGUGCAUUUAGUCAGGCAGCUGGUAGGGUUGGGGCUUGAAGCAGUGAUCUUGUGACCCCACGAAUCAGAGGGAGUAGUUGGAGAGCUUGGGUUGGACAGGGCUACGGUGGAUCCAUGUACUCCAGAGAGCCUUGUGUCAAAAGUUUGGUGCCCUGGGUAGCACAGUUGGGAGGUGGGGGCUUGUGGGACCCUACCAGUACUCUCUGCUUCCUUGCUCCUGGUGUAAGCAGUUGGCUCUGCCACACACUUCUGCCAUUUCCGUCUGGUGCCCUCACUAGAGGGCCAAAGCAAGAGGUCUGCCUGAUCUUGGACUAGAACCUCCAGAACCACGAGCUAAAUAAAAAUGCUAUCUUUAUAAGUUAAUUGCCUCAGGUAUUUUGUUAUAAUAACACAAAGCUCACCAAUACAGGCUAUUAGCUAAAAACGUGUUAUGCCGGCAUCAAGGAACUCAUGUGAGUAAAAGAAUGGAGCUGGGUAUGGUGGCACAUGCUUGUAAACCCAGUGACUAAGGAGGCUGAGGCAGCGGAAUUGCAAGUUUGAGUCCAGCCUGGGCAACUUAGACCCUGUCUCAAAAAAGGCAUAGGGGUAUAGUUUAGUGACGGUGUCCCUGGGUUCAAUCUCCAGCACAAGAUCAAAAUCAGAAUUAAUACUGAAGCACUCUGGGCAUGGUGGUACAGGCCUGUAAUCCCAGCAGCUCACGAGGCUGAGGCAGAAGGAUCACAAGUUCAAAGCCAGCCUCAGCAAUGGUGAGGCACUAAGCAACUCAAUGAGACUCUGUCUCUAAAAUACAAAAUAGGGCUGGG
rnacentral:lncRNA from 1 species